rnacentral:rRNA from 1 species
AACGAACGCUGGCGGCAUGCCUAACACAUGCAAGUCGAACGAGACCUUCGGGUCUAGUGGCGCACGGGUGCGUAACGCGUGGGAACCUGCCCUUAGGUUCGGAAUAACUCCCCGAAAGGGGUGCUAAUACCGGAUAAUGUCUUCGGACCAAAGAUUUAUCGCCUUUGGAUGGGCCCGCGUUGGAUUAGCUAGUUGGUAGGGUAAAAGCCUACCAAGGCGACGAUCCAUAGCUGGUCUGAGAGGAUGAUCAGCCACACUGGGACUGAGACACGGCCCAGACUCCGAGGGAAGGAGGAGGGGGGGAAUAUUGAACAAGGGGAAAAAGCCGAAUCAAGAAAUGCGGGGUGAGUGAAAAAGGACUGGGGGUUGAAAAGCUUUUUUACCGGGGAGGAAAAGAAAAGGACGGGAAAAAGAAGCCCGGACAAACCCGGUG